GGAACUCGCCUUUCAGGCAUCCUCUCCUAAAACUUCAAGGCCGUCCUUCCGGGGCGGCUUUUUUUUAUUUUUUUU
rnacentral:sRNA from 1 species